AAGCAUAUAAAUAAGCGGAGGAAAAGAAACUAACAAGGAUUGACGUAGUAAGGGCGACUGAACUGUCAAGAGCUCACCGUGUGAAUCAGCGUGCGCAAGUGCGUUGAAUUGUGGUUUGGAGGUGUAUGCACUAUUGCGCAGGGCAAAGUCCCUUGGAAGAGGGCAGCAUAGAGGGUGAUACUCCCGUUUGCCUUGUGCUUGAGCGUAUACCAAUGAGUCGAGUUGUUUGGGAUUGCAGCUCAAAGCCGGUGGUAAAUUCCAUCGAAAGCUAAAUAUUGGUGGGAGACCGAUAGCGCACAAGUACCGUGAGGGAAAGAUGCAAAGAACUUUGAAAAGAGAGUUAAAGAGUGCCUGAAAUUGCUGAGAAGGAAGCGAAGGAAAGUAGUGAGUAGCUGCGCCAUACUUCCUGACCUGCUUGCUGGUUGGGCGCUGUGGUCAGCGAGGUUCAACUUGGUUCGGUUGAUGGAAGUUGCAGCAGCAACAGAAUGUUGCAGCUGCUUGACGUUGGCUGGACUGGGAGGAACGAAAUGGUUUUCUUUGCCCCGUCU
rnacentral:rRNA from 1 species